rnacentral:rRNA from 1 species
GACGAACGCUGGCGGCGUGCUUAACACAUGCAAGUCGAACGGAAAGGCCCUGCUUUUGUGGGGUGCUCGAGUGGCGAACGGGUGAGUAACACGUGAGUAACCUGCCCUUGACUUUGGGAUAACUUCAGGAAACUGGGGCUAAUACCGGAUAGGAGCUCCUGCUGCAUGGUGGGGGUUGGAAAGUUUCGGCGGUUGGGGAUGGACUCGCGGCUUAUCAGCUUGUUGGUGGGGUAGUGGCUUACCAAGGCUUUGACGGGUAGCCGGCCUGAGAGGGUGACCGGCCACAUUGGGACUGAGAUACGCCCCAGACUCCUACGGGAGGCAGCAGUGGAGAAUAUUGCACAAUGGGCGGAAGCCUGAUGCAACAACGCCGCGUGCGGGAUGACGGCCUUCGGGUUGUAAACCGCUUUCGCCUGUGACGAAGCGUGAGUGACGGUAAUGGGUAAAGAAGCACCGGCUAACUACGUG